rnacentral:piRNA from 1 species
UGGGAUAAAUUACCAGGAACUAGGAGC